AAUCCGUGGUGCGGGCUUUUCUGAAUCAACAUUUUGAAAUGUUCCCACGCCUUAUAGAAAAUUUCUUCUACCAUCUGUCUAAAAAUAACAAUCUCUCUUCUUAGUUG
rnacentral:snoRNA from 1 species